CAAGAGAACAGUGCCACUCAAAUUCGGCAGGAUCCAGCACGCAAGGAAGCUUGGAGGAUGACACUAUGGAUUUGGGACAAAUGAAAUCCACAAAUUUUUCCGCUGGAGAGCGCGAUCCUCUGAAAAGUAUAGACAACUUUUUUCCAAAAAAAAGAAAAGAGGAAAAAAAUGUUAUCUUCUACCUCCUUAGCUGCUCUUCUCCAUGGCCGCCCCCAUUAUCCUUUCCGUCCGUCGAAGGCGCAUCUUUUCCUAGCUCUCCCCAACAACCCUACCCGUUUCCUGGCCUCCGCCUCCGUCCGGGUCGCCUAUCCUCCCCGGUGGCAUCUCCGCGCCGCCGACGGGGAGCGGGACAACCGCGUGCAGGAGCUGAGGGUGCCCGAUUCUUGGCUGACGCCUGCAGGAGCAACGCAGAUAAAAUUGACAAGAAACGAAGAAGAAUACAUGGCAUUUUAAUAAUGGUUUUUGAAGGAGGGACAUUCGCAACGGGGACAAAAGGAAUCUGAAUGGCUGAGGGAGACACUGCGCAAGUGGCUCGACGACGAGUACUGCCCGGAGCCGGCCAACGUGGACAUCAGCAGCACCGCCGCGCGGUCGUAUCGCGAAUCCCUGAUAGCGGGGCAGUCUGACCUGGGAGAGAUCUUGCUGAGGAUGGUGGGCGACCUGGACAAGCUGUCGUACAGGGAGAGCUUCCACGGCCCCUUCUCGGCCGCCAACGCUGCAGUCCGUUUGAUCGCUCAGAGGAUGGAGGAGUCACUGCCUGAUGAAUGACGGUGGUGCGCGACCUGGAGUUUCUAUAUGGCACGACUUUUGAUGAAGUCGUAGGCUAUAUGUACUUUUGACGAUGAACAAUUCGAUCACCAUUCCUCACCGAGGCUGUCGCUGACAGAAAAUGGUGAGAAUAGGCUCGAGACUUCAUUUUUCUGCUGAAAUUCGCCAACGUACUAUUCUGUUUAUGAGCAUGUCUUUGAGACGAGCGGUGAAAUGCCAACGAGGUGGGUCGACUUAAGGGAGUGCGUGGCCUUCUCUGAAGUAGUUUUGGGUGUGAAUUUG
rnacentral:misc_RNA from 1 species